UAUUCAUGGAUAAGUGUAGCACUCACAAUCAUCCAACCAUUCAAAAUGGUUGUCUUCCCUCUUUCAUUCAUUCAUUCUGUCUUUCUUUCUAAAAUGCUUAUUAAUUUUUGUUUGGUGCAGAGGAAAGCAGUCUUGAAUGGAAGUUCAUAAAUAUGUCAGAGCAAGAGGAAGAUAUCAUAUGUAGAAUGCACAAGCUUGUGGGGGACAAGUGGGUUUUAAUAGCUGGAAGAAUUCCAGGAAGAAGUCCAGCAGAAAUUGAAAGAUUUUGGUUGAUGAGAAACUGUAAUAACCACGAUCUAAUUACCCGAACCUUAUGAAAUAA